rfam:Cricetulus griseus cell line CHO-K1, whole genome shotgun sequence.
GGAAAGAUGGCUUAGUGGUUAAGAGCACUGGCUGCUCUUCCAGAGGACCUAGGUUUUAUUCCUUGUACUUACCU